rnacentral:lncRNA from 1 species
ACACAGCCUUAUUUCAAAGGCAAAGCAGACUACAGAGCCAUCCAGUUUUAUCAUGUGCCAAGAGACAGAGAGAACUAGGAUAGUGGUGAGUGGCUCUAAGAAAACCACUUAAAGAGGCAGAAGAGUCUUGGAGAGCUGGGUAGUUUAGAGCCUUGAAUUCAGGGGUCAUUCCUUUGGAGCCUGUAGUUCUAUCCACAAACCCAUGCCUGGUUUCAGAAUGUUUGUACAUAAGGCAGAGCUUUGGGUUUUAUACAGAAGUAAGAAAAAUAAAUGUCAAAGCAUCAUUUGUCAAUGGCACAGAAUAGAAUGUGAAUCAUGACUGAUGAUCAAUAUUAUGAUAAUGUGCUCAAAUAAAGCGGUAACACAUUCCAAUCUUGUUGGCUUUUGAGAAUUACUGUUCCCAGAUAUUAAAAAAAUCCAGACCCAUCUUAUAUGUAGCAAAGACAUUUGUGUGAAUGUGUGUGCCUAUGCAUAUAGUAAACACAUAUUUAUGUGUAUUUGGCUGAUAGGUUGAUGAGUGUAUUAAUGGAUUUCACUUCAUUUUUAUUUAUUUAUUUGUACAUAUAUGUGUUCAUGAGAGUGUUUUAUGGACAUCACAUGUAUUCAUAGGCCAGAGGAGGCGGGAGAAGGUCUUAGAUCCGCAGGAACUUGAAUUCCUAGAGCUUAAGUUACAGGAGGUUAUGUGCUAUCAUGUGGGUGCUGGCAACCAAACAUGCCCUCUGCAAGAAGAGUAAGUACCCUUAGCUGUUGAGCCGUCUUCCAGCCCCAGUAGAUUUGAUAUUUGAACAUUCACGAAGACCUAGCAUAUUGUCUCAUUUGAUAGAAGCAAUGGAUCACAUCCAGGAACACUUGCUCAGUUUAAACAUCUCCUUCCUCUCUCACUUCCUCUUGCUCACCUCUACCUGCAUCUUGCUCGCCUGUCACAUGGACCUCAAGAAUGGUGGUUUAGCAAUCACGUGUCCCUGCUACACUUGGCAUCUACCUCACCCUCCCUCUGUCAUGCUGGCAUAGUCUCCAUGGCAACCCCAGGCUGCUCCACAGGCAGCUGGCCAUGCUGGAUAGCUGAUGCUGGCUGGCAGAAGCGAUCAAAGAGUGAGGGGGCCUUGAAGAGCCAUGGAAAAAGCUUCUGGUGAAAUUGUAACGACUGAAUUGGGGAAAAAAUGUUAUUAAUUUGAGCUAGUCCAGCUCAUGGUGAGGUUCCCAGGGGAGACCCAUCUACCAUCUGCAUCUUGCAAAUAAUAGUAUUCCCAAAUCUCCAUGCUUCUUCCAUGGUGGGUUUACUUUGUUUUUAUAUAUAUGGAUGGCAGAUUGAACACUGAGCAAGGGCCAGUGGCUGUUCUGGGCUGUUGCCACUUCCUUAGUGUACACACUUCAGAGUCAUUUGAAUCACUUCUUCUUUGUAUAAGGUCUGGACUACAGAACAGCCUCAAACAUUUGCUGGUCCUGUGUCCUUUGGGCAUUGGUCCUCAAGAUGGGAGGCAAGUUUCAGAAAAAACUGCCAGUUCUUUGCGCUCUCUUCAACCUUGCUUGCUUGACUGACCUUUCUCCAAGGAGCCCAUCCCAGAGACAAGCUAACAAAUGCUUACAAGAAAUGGCACAACGUGGUGAAGAUUGAGAGCAAAGAGCGGUGGGGAGACACUGUUUGGGGACUGCGUCCAAGGACAAUGUACAGUAGUUAUAUUGCAGCUUAUAGUAAAUUCCCUGCAUCCAUUUGUUGCUCUGGGCCUCUCAGUGGAUAGCGCUGUUGUUUUUCAAAACAAAGCGAAGUGCAAUUAGAAAAGAUUUAUCAUUGAUCAUGUCUCUUACUGCUUCUAAAACUCAUUCCUUUUUGCAUACCCAUUUGUGAAACUGUUGGUUAUAGUACACUGAACUUUUAAAAAGAUAAAGCUUGAAUAUAAGGUAAUUAAUUGUUUCAUUAUUUCUUCUCUUAUAAUAUUCCGUUUGUUAAUCUCAAUAUCAGAAAACACUAAUUUUGCUUAAUAUUCUGUGGUGCUUAAAAUAUUUCCAGUUAUUAGGUGAAUAGAUGUGUGUGAAUACCAAAUAUGUAUAAAAUAAUAUAUAAUAUGUAUAUGGAACUUGUCUAUAAUUUGUAAGUGACUUUUCUUUUACUUGUACUGUGGAAAUUUCUCUAAAGCGAAAUAAGGGAUAUUCGUAAUCAUUGUUUCAAUGUUUGGUUAUGCUGUUUGACUUACAAAUAAUUGACAUUAUCAAACAGACCUUAAUGUUAUGAUAAUGACAAUAAACAGAUUAUCAUUGAAUGUGAGGAGUAUUGUUUCCAUAGAUUAAAUGGUUACAUGAAGUAAAUGUUUCACAACAAAUGACUUCAGAGUUACAGGCUGAGCAUCUCUAAGGAUAUUCAAAUAUUGAUAAUAAUGGUAAUUGAUAAAUAUAUCUCAAAAGGUUUUACGAGUUAAAUCUGAUUUGCAGUACUAAUUCAAAAGUUUUAAAAGUAACUUUGAGAUACCACAAAGGCUUGUAGAAACCAUGUACCGUAAUUUCCAUCAGAAAGGAAAUAUAACUCAAAGAACAUACCUUCUCAGUACUGACAUGUGACAGUAUUUAGUGUAUGUACUGGACAGGAAAAAUGUCUGAUGAAUAAUGAGUCAUGUGCUUAUCUGAAGGCAUAUGGGAAAAAGAAAAAUAUGAACAAAUGAAGAAAAGCAGGGGCAACUGGCCAUUGCCAAUACCUGUGCUGUUAUCAUUCCUAAGAACCUAGAAAUGGUUUAAAAAUUAAGAAAAAAAAUCAGUUACAAGUCACUUCAGGAUUUGCAACAGAGAGAAUUUAAAGGAGCAUGUUGGAUACACAGCUGAUAGGAAAGCCCAGAAGCCAAAAGAGAGGAUGUAGAACUUAGUUAGGACCUAAUCUAAGAGGAACUUUGCCUCCUUUAGCUUCUAUCACUGGUACUCACAUGGGGCCAUAUUGAGGUCCCCACCACCAGUUUCCUCUCUAGUAAUCCUGUUGGUCAUAAGCAGGCAGAAGCGUUAUUUGAAUCUCAUUACAGACAGAAGAGAUGGUCCUCAACUCCAGUCCUACAUUGCUGAGGCUCUGGGUCUCCAGAACAUUAGGUGUGCUAACAGAGAAAUGAUGGCCAAGAAGACACUAGAGGGCAGUCCCCAUAAUCUACCAGCUACCCAGGAACAUCACGGGGGCUGUGUAGCUGCCAGCUCAGAGUUUGAGGAAGGCAGAGAUGAGAAGACAAUAGGGGUGUGGCUCUCUGUUCUUCCAAGUGGAUAAAGUCAAUUAGAAUCCCGUUGACACAAAACCACAGAGAUCUGCCUACAUGGCAGUCCCAUGAUAGGGGGAAAACCUUGGAAGGGGAAGGUGUGGAAGUGAGGAAUGUAGAGAGACAGACCAGCUAACACUUCCAAUCAAUGUCUAAAAUAUGACAAAUUCCAAAAUUAUGCACAAUCAACAACUCAGUAUACUGGAAAAUUAAGAAAAUAUUCUCAACUCGAAUUGAACCCUAAAUUGUGGUACUGUUUUGAUCAUGAUUUACAUAUAUACUUAAAUAGUUUCCUUAGCCUCGACCAUUGAAACCAGAAAAAUAUGUAAGAAGCAAAUGACUGAAAGGAAACCAAUAACUUAAAAGCUAUUAGCUGAUUAGUUGGAUAUUUAUAUACAACUCUGAAGAAAAUUAUUAAAAUUACAUAAAACUAAAUUUUUAAAAAUUAUAAAUUCAUUAGUAAAAUUAUAUAAAACUCUGAAGGAGGAUUAUAAAAACUAAAAAUGAAACAGAAAAUUUCCUGAUCUUAAUAAUACAGUGUUAGUUGUUAAUUUUUUUAGAGUUUGACUUAUAUUUAAGAUGACUAUAUAAUAAUGAAGUUUAAAAAUAUUCAUAAUUUGAAUAUUAAACUGCAAGAGAAAUGAGUUAGAAACCACAGGGAGAGUAUAGAUCAGAAUAGAGCUCUGCUUUAGCACACAAUCUGUAACAUUAUUAAGUGCCCAGAAAUAUCUGGUAUGGUUCUCCCCAUAUUUAGUGAUUUAUUUUAGUUGUAUUUAGGUAUAUUUGGUGAAUAUAACUGUGUUGAACUAUUUUUUGAAAUGAAAACUUUUAUUUAUUCUUUUCUCAUACGAUACAUCUUAGCCACAGCUUCCCCUCCCUCUACUCCUCUGAUUUCUCCCCACAUCCUCUCUCUCCCACAUGGUUCCCACCUGAGCCAUGCCCCAGUCUUCCCCCAGAACAGAGCAUACCUCCCAGGGACAUUAACUGAACGUGGCACAACAAAGUUCAAUAAGACUAGGCACAAACCCUCAUAUCAAGGCCGGAUGAAGCAACCCAGUAGGAGAAAAAGGGUCCUGAGAACACGCAAAAGAGUCAGAGACAUCCCCACUGUCAGAACAUCAAGCCAGCAACCAUAGAUAGAUAGAUAGAUAGAUAGAUAGAUAGAUAGAUAGAUAGAUAGAUAGAUAGAUAGAUGUUAUUUGAUUAUGUUGACCUGUCAUGAUAUGAAAAUGUAAAGCUUGUGUACAUUUCACUACUUUAUCUGCUUAAUUUAUCACCAAGGGUGUUCUUUAUAUAACUGUGUUGAAGCAAAGAAAGCUAUGUCAGAGAACCAGCCUUUGAGGUCUUACAUCAUUAUAGACCUAUCAGAAUCUAUCCAUUGCCAUGGUGUUAGCACCUUGGGCUACUGUAGCAAAACAUGAUGGAACACAUUCUGGUGUCUGUUCUUCUUGUAAGGACACCAACCACAUGACAAGACCCCUAAGUUUGUAAAAUUCUGUAAACCUAACUUCCUUCUCUCAAACCCUAUCUGUCAGUAUCACCACACUGGGAGUUCAAUGUGAUCCUUGAACCUGGGGAAGAGGAGUCACAUGCAGCCCACUUUAGUCACUGGUCCCAGGGUCGAAAAUGCUUUCCAGCACUCACUCUUCUUUCUAGGCAAGAAAGUUUUGAAUAGCAUUAUACGUUCUUAGACUAACAGCCAUAAGAAGUGGUGGGUAUGUUUGCAUGAAUCUAACCAUGAAUUACGGAGUUAGGAAGCAAGACCUGAGGCUGUGGGCAAGGGAAAUAAUUUCAGGUUGAAGAACUGAAUACAAUAAUAGACUAAUAGCUAGUCUGGAUCUAAGAUUUGAAACCCAAAAGAACACAGGUUUCUCCCAGAAUGAUUCAACAAAGUGGAAACCUUUGUUUGUGAAAGAAUAAGGCUUUUGUACUUUUAUAC